UCGGUGUGUACAAGACCCGGGAACGUAUUCACCGCGACAUUCUGAUUCGCGAUUACUAGCGAUUCCAGCUUCGUGUAGUCGGGUUGCAGACUACAGUCCGAACUGGGACGUUAUUUUUGGGAUUUGCUCCACAUCACUGUCUCGCUUCCCUUUGUUUACGCCAUUGUAGCACGUGUGUAGCCCAAAUCAUAAGGGGCAUGAUGAUUUGACGUCAUCCCCACCUUCCUCCAGGUUAUCCCUGGCAGUCUCCCUAGAGUGCCCGGCUCUACCUGCUGGCUACUAAGGAUAAGGGUUGCGCUCGUUGCGGGACUUAACCCAACAUCUCACGACACGAGCUGACGACAACCAUGCACCACCUGUCUCCCCUGUCCCGAAGGAAAGGCCGCGUUACCGGCCCGUCAGGGGGAUGUCAAGACUUGGUAAGGUUCUUCGCGUUA
rnacentral:misc_RNA from 1 species